AGGGCCGCUACCACGCAAGUGGAUGCCCAAUCCCCAAAACCUCUCUCAGUUCGGAUUGAAGUCUGCAACCCGACUUCAUGAAGCUGGAUUCGCUAGUAAUCGCGCAUCAGCCACGGCGCGGUGAAUACGUUCCCGGGCCUUGUACACACCGCCCGUCAAGCCAUGGGAGCCGGGGGUACCCGAAGUGCGUAACCGCAAGGAGCGCCCUAGGGUAAAACUGGUGACUGGGGCUAAGUCGUAACAAGGUAAC
rnacentral:rRNA from 1 species